AAAAGAGGGAGCGAGCGUUAAUCGGAAUUACUGGGCGUAAAGCGCACGUAGGUGGCGACGUAAGUCGGGUGUGAAAGCCCCGGGCUCAACCUGGGAAUUGCAUUCGAGACUGCAUUGCUGGAGUACGGAAGAGGAGGGCGGAAUUCCCGGUGUAGCGGUGAAAUGCGUAGAUAUCGGGAGGAACAUCAGUGGCGAAGGCGGCCCUCUGGUCCAGUACUGACACUCAAGUGCGAAAGCGUGGGGAGCAAACAGG
rnacentral:rRNA from 1 species